rnacentral:rRNA from 1 species
UACGGAGGGAGCUAGCGUUGUUCGGAUUCAUUGGGCGUAAAGGGUGCGUAGGCGGCGCGGUAAGUCGGGUGUGAAAUCUUGGAGCUUAACUCCGAAACUGCAUUCGAUACUGCCGCGCUUGAGGACUGGAGAGGAGACUGGAAUUUACGGUGUAGCGGUGAAAUGCGUAGAUAUCGUAAGGAAGACCAGUGGCGAAGGCGGGUCUCUGGACAGUUCCUGACGCUGAGGCACGAAGGCCAGGGGAGCAAACGGG